UCUCUCUCUCAUUCGUUUAUUACCUCUUUCUCCGUUGACUUCUUUUAACUCAUUCACGUGUGAUUUUUGCUGUUAAAAUUACUAUCCUCGCUGCUUACCGAUACACUUAACAAUUUUCUUCUUCUGGUCUCUUAAAGAAUUCUUCAAUAAUAUACCUACCACUAAUCGAUUGGUAACUUUGGCUGCAACCAUCCCAAAUGCAAGUAUAUACAGCGCGGGAUGAUUUUCGUAUACGUGUUCAGUACUUUUUCUAUAAAUUAUGAAAGCUGGAACUACCACGAAACUAAACGGGAUGAUCGGCGACAGAACCGAUGUUCCCUGAAAUUCAAUUAUCGUUAUGCAAUAAAACCGUCUGGAACAAUCACCUGAUAUUUUUGUACUCUUGUAAAGUUUUUUUUUUUUCCCCUCAU